rnacentral:rRNA from 1 species
AUUGAACGCUGGCGGCAGGCCUAACACAUGCAAGUCGAACGGUAACAGGAGGAAGCUUGCUUCUUUGCUGACGAGUGGCGGACGGGUGAGUAAUGUCUGGGAAACUGCCUGAUGGAGGGGGAUAACUACUGGAAACGGUAGCUAAUACCGCAUAACGUCGCAAGACCAAAGAGGGGGACCUUCGGGCCUCUUGCCAUCGGAUGUGCCCAGAUGGGAUUAGCUAGUAGGUGGGGUAACGGCUCACCUAGGCGACGAUCCCUAGCUGGUCUGAGAGGAUGACCAGCCACACUGGAACUGAGACACGGUCCAGACU